GACGAACGCUGGCGGCGUGCUUAACACAUGCAAGUCGAACGAAGAGCGACGGAAGCUUGCUUCUAUCAAUCUUAGUGGCGAACGGGUGAGUAACGCGUAAUCAACCUGCCCUUCAGAGGGGGACAACAGUUGGAAACGACUGCUAAUACCGCAUACGAUCUAACCUCGGCAUCGAGGAUAGAUGAAAGGUGGCCUCUACAUGUAAGCUAUCACUGAAGGAGGGGAUUGCGUCUGAUUAGCUAGUUGGAGGGGUAACGGCCCACCAAGGCGAUGAUCAGUAGCCGGUCUGAGAGGAUGAACGGCCACAUUGGGACUGAGACACGGCCCAGACUCCUACGGGAGGCAGCAGUGGGGAAUCUUCCGCAAUGGACGAAAGUCUGACGGAGCAACGCCGCGUGAGUGAUGACGGCCUUCGGGUUGUAAAGCUCUGUUAAUCGGGACGAAAGGCUUUCUUGCGAAUAGUGAGAAGGAUUGACGGUACCGGAAGAGAAAGCCACGGCUAACUACGUG
rnacentral:rRNA from 1 species